CGAGGACGAGGACGAGGACGAGGAGGACGACGACAACUUUGAUUUUUAACAUGUCAUUAGAGGUGAGACAUUAUCACUGCAGAUUCUCGCUCUCUGACUUUUAUAUUAUGGAUAUUUUUCGACGGGCACGCCAUAGACGACACCAUUCAAGCAUUGGCCAGAUUGAUUCACCAUCUGAUAGGAUGGUACCUACGCCCUCCCCUCAGGCAGGACCUUCUCGUGGGCAGUCACCAGCAGAACCUUC